GAAGUUACUCGGUACAUCGGUGACAGGUGGUGCAUGGUUGUCGUCAGCUCGUGUCGUGAGAUGUUGGGUUAAGUCCCGCAACGAGCGCAACCCCUAUUGUUAGUUGCCAUCAUUCAGUUGGGCACUCUAGCGAGACUGCCGGUAAUAAACCGGAGGAAGGUGGGGAUGACGUCAAAUCAUCAUGCCCCUUAUGACCUGGGCUACACACGUGCUACAAUGGUCGGUACAGAGGGCAGCUACCUGGUGACAGGAUGCUAAUCUCGAAAACCGGUCUCAGUUCGGAUCGAAGUCUGCAACUCGACUUCGUGAAGCUGGAUUCGCUAGUAAUCGCGCAUCAGCUAUGGCGCGGUGAAUACGUUCCCGGGCCUU
rnacentral:rRNA from 1 species